CGCGGCUUACACAUGCAGUCGAGCGGGGAAGGGUAGCUUGCUACCUGACCUAGCGGCGGACGGGUGAGUAAUGCUUAGGAAUCUGCCUAUUAGUGGGGGACAACAUUCCGAAAGGAAUGCUAAUACCGCAUACGCCCUACGGGGGAAAGCAGGGGAUCUUCGGACCUUGCGCUAAUAGAUGAGCCUAAGUCAGAUUAGCUAGUUGGUGGGGUAAAGGCCUACCAAGGCGACGAUCUGUAGCGGGUCUGAGAGGAUGAUCCGCCACACUGGGACUGAGACACGGCCCAGACUCCUACGGGAGGCAGCAGUGGGGAAUAUUGGACAAUGGGCGAAAGCCUGAUCCAGCCAUGCCGCGUGUGUGAAGAAGGCCUUUUGGUUGUAAAGCACUUUAAGCGAGGAGGAGGCUACCGAGAUUAAUACUCUUGGAUAGUGGACGUUACUCGCAGAAUAAGCACCGGCUAACUCUGUGCCAGCAGCCGCGGUAAUACAGAGGGUGCGAGCGUUAAUCGGAUUUACUGGGCGUAAAGCGUGCGUAGGCGGCUUUUUAAGUCGGAUGUGAAAUCCCUGAGCUUAACUUAGGAAUUGCAUUCGAUACUGGGAAGCUAGAGUAUGGGAGAGGAUGGUAGAAUUCCAGGUGUAGCGGUGAAAUGCGUAGAGAUCUGGAGGAAUACCGAUGGCGAAGGCAGCCAUCUGGCCUAAUACUGACGCUGAGGUACGAAAG
rnacentral:rRNA from 1 species